rnacentral:lncRNA from 1 species
AAAUAUUGAUGCCUUGUACUCUCUAAUUGGAGAGGAUCCAUACAUGCUGGAGCAUAUUGAUCAGAUUCCUUUCAUCGAUACUCCACUUCACAUAGCAGCAAAUAAAGGCCAAAUUAAGUUUGCAAUGGAGAUUAUGAACUUGAAGCCUUCGUUUGGUCGGAAGCUAAACCAAGAUGGGUUUAGCCCCAUGCACUUGGCCUUCAAAAUGGGGCAUACCAAGCUAGUGCUUCGACUGUUGAAGACCGAUAAAGACCUGGUUCGCGUCAAAGGAAGGGAAGGGAUGACCCCUUUCCAUUGUGCAGCUGCAGCGGGGAACUCUAAUCUUUUAUUCCAGCUCCUUGAAACUUGCCCUGAAUGCGUUGAGGAUGUCACGGUUCGUGACGAGACUGCAUUACAUCUUGCUCUGAAAAACGACCACACCGACGCUUUUAAUUUCUUACUUGGAUGGCUUCGAAAGAACCGUCGUGGAGGAGGCAAGGAUUUGGAAAGAAAGGUUGUGAAUUGGAGAGAUGAUGAUGACAACACUGCGUUGCACAUUGCAGCUACAAAGCAACAACACCAGGUAUAGAUGCAUUAUAAUGAUAAGUUGCGUAUAUUCCUUUGAUAAUCUUAUUAAUGACUGUUUAUAAUAUUCUACGCAGGCCGUGCAACUGUUGUUGGAUUCCUUUUAUGGGUUAGAUGUAAAAGCUAAGAACUCGGAAGGCUUGACAGCUCGAGAAAUCAUAGAAAAUGUUGGGAGACAAGGGUUGAACAUGAGUAGCGCCGAAGACGAUGAUAGGACCACCGCCAAGAUUAAGCGCAUUAAGAAAAGAACUAGUCGGUCUGAAAGAGCAUUAGUAAAGUUGAUUCGUACAAAGAAUGGGUUGUCGGAGAACAUGAUCAACGCAACACUGGUGGUAGCGGCGCUGGUCAUAACAGCGAUCUACCAAUCAUCUUUAAGCCCACCGAGAGGUCUUUGGCAAGGUGAUAACACUAGUAACCCCACCACCACCUCAAACCUUACUACUACCACUAAAUUUAAACUCUUUAACGACAAUUACGCUGAAAAACUUUCUAAACAUGUGUUGGGUGAAGAAACAAUGAAAACUGGUACGGCAAUCAUGAAUCCCAACUUGUUUUUAGGGUUUUGGUUAUUCAAUUUUAUAGCAUUUGGGCUUCCGGUUCUUCUAACCGUUUUCCUUUUAUACGAUGUAGCUCGUAUUCUUCUUCUCCCGCUUUAUUUUCUAUCCGUCUCCUACUUUAACUGCAUGACAAUAAUAUCUCCGUCCAUGUUUUGGGCAAACCUCAACUUUGUUGUCAUGUGGGCAGCCAUUAUUCUCCCGUCUGUCUUUGUUUUUGGAGGCGUAUGGUUAUGCAUGCUGCCAAAGUACCGGGAAAUCAGACAAAUGCGCAGACGUGUCCGCAAUGACAAUAAUAUCGGAAUAAUUCAGUACUUGCGAAUGUCAGUCUAACUUAUAUAUUAUAUUAUGUACCCUUUUCCAUUUUCUUUGUAUUAAUAUCUUUUCUUAUUGAAAAAAAAAAACACUAUGUAAUUGCUUUGGAUAAAUUUAAUAGAAAUAAGAUUACCUUUCCCGACAGAUAUAUUUGAAGUAUCGUUUGUUCAAAAUCAACUUAUUUCUAAAUGUGUUAAUAUUAUUUUCGAGUUAUUAAUUAAAAAUAUCUUUAACAUAAAGAUAUAUGUAAUAUAUAUAUAUUUUUAUUAUUUUGUUUAUAUAAUAAAAGAGUUAUUGAUUAAAAAGAUGAAUUAAAAAAUUAAAAAAUAAUAUAUUUAUUAAUUAAAAAGUACUAUUUUUUAAAAUAAUAUGAAAUAAAAAUACAAAUAUGAGUAAGAGAUAAAUUAAAACCGAGACUCAAAAAUAAAAUGACUAACAUUUAAUUAUUUGACCAAAUAAAUUAAUGUGUCAAGUUAUUGAAGAAAAUACAUUUUAUCCCCACAUUUCUUUCUCCAAAAUUAAUCUAUUUCUACAAAUAUUAAAAAAAUCAACCUUAACACUAAUUAUUUUCUAAAAAGGACAUACGUUGCGAGUAUGCCUUAAACCUAGGAAGGGUGGCUGUGGUGCGCCACACUUUCUAACGCAAAUAAUAAUAAUAAUAAUAAUAAUAAUAAUACAUUAAUCUAAAUUACAUGAGAGUUUGGUGUCCCCUUUUCUUAAUUCUAAACAAUAAAAUCUCAAAAAUAAGAAUAAUAAAAUAAAAUAAAAUAAUUGUAUUUAUAUAGAAAUGAUAAAUUAAGUAAAAUAAAUAAUAAAAAUAUGUCAAUUAACUAAUUUCACUAUCAUUUAAAUAUAUUUAUCUUUUGAAAAAUACUUUUUCUUUUUUAAACAAAGGGUGGACAUCAUCAAAAAUAACUUAGAAAAGUAGAAAUUGUAGCCGUACUAGAACAUUUUUCAUCUAAACAUCAGAAUAUUAAAAUGCUGAAAAACCUCCAAAUUUACCGUUCUCUACAUCCAUUACUAAUCGUAGACGGUGACAAAGACAUUCGACAGAUGAUAAGCAUAAAAAAAAUACUCUUUUAACUACAAUACUAAAAGCGUCCGCUAACCAUUUUUCAAUUAAGAUAUUAAUCAAGACGGAUUAAUUUAGUGUUAAAUAGAGUAAGUCUAGGGGUGGGUUUGGAUGGGUGAUUGGGUGCGGUGCGGUGCGUUUAGUUUACUUUUUGUCUCACGCUACAGUGUCUAAUCUCACCGCCACCGCUGUUUUUACACUAACCUCAAAUAAACCCACCGCCCAUCCAAACUCACCCUAGACUAAGUCCGUGGAUGAAUUUCCGCAUCUUUUUUUAGGCAUUAAAUUGAGAGCCAAUCAGAGCCUUCCCCUUACUACCAAUCUAUAAAAAAUUGGAUCUUUGGUUUGAUUUUAUCAAUAAAAGAAAUUCCUUCCUCGGUUUCUUAAAUUUGAUAACUUUUAUCAUUAUCAUUAUUUUAUUAUAUAAAAUAAUUUUGUUCACUUUUCAUCAAUAAUGAGAUCAAUUGUUUCGCUAAUAGAAUAGAAAAUAGAUAGUUACUCAAUAUUAUAAUGGUACCAUGUGUUUUUAUGUUUUUAAUUUUUAAUAUAAUUAAUGUUAUAACCCUCCUUAUGAAGCUAGUUAAUGUAAAGGAUAAUAAUUCUAAUUAUCUGUGCUUAAAAUUAAUUCAGUUGUGCUUUCAAUCAAUGUCUGAUUUUGAUAUUGCAAGAGGUGUCCAGCUAUGUGGUGAGAUCUUGAAGGUGUGUCUUUGUAACAACUUGAGAAGCUUUUUGGAUUUUUUUCUUCUUCUUUUAGGUUUAUUAUUAGUAAAUGAUUUUUUGCUGCGAAAAAUUAGCUUAAAAAUAAAAUAUAAAAAUGAUAGGAAAUAUAUGUUAAUUUUAUACAACGACAAUUAAUGACAUUGCAAUAUUACUUAACAACAUGAACAAUCCCCACCAUCGUAUUGUCAUUCCCAAGUAAUGGCGUAUUCUCUUUACUUGGAAAAUAUCCCUCCUAACGCUGGCCGAAAUUGGUUGAAACAUUAUGCAGCUAAUUUGGUAAGAUCAUGGACGUGUUUAUUGCAUCAAAAAGAAAUAGAAGAGGUCGUCGGUUUUGUUUCGUUAGGUAUGGUAGGCUGGAAGAAGCAAAGAGAGCAUUGUGGAGUCUAGAUGGAAGGUGGUUCUCUAAUCAUAGAUUGACGGUCAGUAUGGCGAAGUUUAAACCUAGAGAUGCUUUGUGGAGGAAGGCAAAUGGGAGAGAGGUCAGACAACAUACAUAGAAUAUGGAAAGAAGAUGUGUUGAAGGAAAUACGGGAUCGCAUGUAGAGAAGAAUGCAAGUGAGAUUAUGGCAAAUAAUAAACAACAUGAAGAAAAUGACCCAAUCAAGUUGGACGAGAUGGUGGAAGAUUUAUGAAUUUCCAGAAAAGAUAAGAGAACAAAGUAGUAGAGGGAGCCAUUGAUGGAGAGAACUUGAAGUGGCUUGAAAAAUGUAUUGUGGGUAGAAUGAGAAACAAUGCUACUGUGGGGUUAUGGGGUGAUGCUGGAAUUUAUAAAAUUGGAGUCCAAAGAUCAUCGGGUAAUGAUUGGUAUGAAUUGGAAGCCAAUGAAUGGGGAGAUGUUUUGCAAGUGUUCAGAAAGUUGAACGGUGGACAACGAAGAUGAAAGAUUAAGGUGGUUAUCCUGUUACGAGAUUCCAAUACAUGCUUGGUCUUCGAAGAUUUUGACGUACUGUAUAGGCGGCCACCGAUUUAUAUACCUCGUCAUAUAUAGAUAUAUUAAUCAUUUCUUAAAAUAUUCGAUAUUUAUAUUCAAUAUAAAUCUACCCUUGACGGAUUAAUUAGUUUAGUGUAAGCCUGGUUUAAAUCAGUUGAGGUUUCAAAUAAGGAUAGUCAGUUUGCAACUCUCCUAAUUUUUUCAUCAUUUAAAGAAAGAAACAAAAGCAUGGAUCCAAGCUUGAGAGAAGUAGCUGGAACAGGAGAUACUGAUGCCUUGUACGCUCUAAUUCGAAAGGAUCCGUACAUGUUGGAGCAUAUUGAUCAGAUUCCUUUCAUCGAUACUCCACUUCACAUAGCAGCAAAUGAAGGUCAAAUUAAGUUUGCAAUGGAGAUGAUCAACUUGAAGCCUUCGUUUGGUCGGAAGCUAAACCAAGAUGGGUUUAGCCCCAUGCACUUGGCCCUCAAAAUGGGGCAUACCAAGCUAGUGCUUCGACUGUUGAAGACCGAUAAAGACCUGGUUCGCGUCAAAGGAAGGGAAGGGAUGACCCCUUUCCAUUGUGCAGCUGCAGUGGGGAACUCUAAUCUUUUAUUCCACUUCCUUGAAACUUGCCCUGAAUGCGUUGAGGAUGUCACGGUUCGUAACGAGACUGCAUUACAUCUUGCUCUGAAAAACGACCACACAGACGCUUUUAAUCUCUUACAUGGAUGGCUUCGAAAGAACCGUCGAGGA